GGAGAUUUAGUGCUUUUUAAGGGAGAAAAAGUCGCACUAAUAUUAGGGGAACAUUUCUAUGGAGUAUUAUACGCUGCCAGCAUCAUUUCUUAUCUUCAUUCCCUUCUUCUUACUCAUUCUCAAACAACUCAUACCAAAAUCUACAAACCUUCCACCAGGUCCACGACCAUGGCCUCUACUAGGAAAUCUUCUCCAGAUUGGGAAAAGCCCUCAUAUUCCACUGGCACAAUUUGCCCAAAUUCAUGGCCCAUUGAUUUCUGUCAAGUUGGGAACUCAACUGGUUGUGGUAGCUUCAUCUCCUGCUUCUGCAGCUGAAAUCCUCAAGACCCAAGAUCGUCUGCUAUCGGUUCGAUCUGUGCCCAAAGUUGCUACAUAUGAACUCUCUGUUAUUGAUCAACAUUCGAUUGUCUUUUCAAGUGAUUUGAGCAAUCACUGGAAGUUCUUGCGGGCAUUUUGUCGAACACAUCUCUUCUCACCCAAAGCGGUAGAGUCACAGGCUGCUUUGAGGGAGAAAAAAGUAUCGGAAAUGAUGAAUUUUCUUAGGUCUAGAAAAGGGGAAGCUGUGAAGAUUUCUGAAAUUCUGUUUGGCACCAUUUUAAACACGUUGGGGAACCUUUUCUUUUCAAAAGAUUUAUGUAAUUUGGAUUAUGAAACGAACACCAGCGGGAUCAAACAUGUUAUUAGAAAAUUUGUUGAAUUGGGAGCUAUGCCAAAUAUAUCAGAAUUCUAUCCUUUAUUAGAGGUUCUGGAUUUGCAGGGAUUGAGAAAGCAGACUGAAAUAUAUCAGAACCAAUUGGUCAACAUCUGGAGUGAAAUUGUAAAGGAAAAACGACAGGCGAUUAGUCGUAGUAGCUCGGAUUUUUUGGAUGUCAUGAUUGAUAAUGGAUUCUCGGAUUUACAGGUCGAUAUCUUAUUGAUGGUAAUUUCUCAAAUCCCCUUUGGAUUAAUUUCGUAGAAUUAAUAUACUCGGGAUGAGCCCUGUUUCAAAUAGGAGACAUUGAGGAUUCCAUAUUUGGCUGCUUGUGUCAAGGAGACAUUGAGGAUCCCCUUCUUGAUUCCUCGUCGUGCUCCUGAGACGUGUAAGAUCAUGGAUUACACCAUCCCAAAGAACUCGAAAUUGUUUGUGAACGCUUGGGCAAUCGGGCGUGACUCAAACACUUGGGAAGAUGCAUUAUGUUUCAGGCCAGAGCGGUUUCUUGACUCCAAUGUGGACUUCAGGGGUCAUGAUUUUGAGUUCAUACCAUUUGGUGCAGGGAGGAGAAUAUGCCCCGGCUUACCCUUUGCUAGACAAGAGGUUCACUUGAUUUUAGCUAGUUUGAUCCAUCACUUUGAGUGGUCACUUCCUAAUGGUGAGGAUCCAAUGCAGAUAGAUAUGAAAGAAAAGUUUGGUGUUACUCUACAGAAAGAAAAGUCUCUACUAGUUGUCCCUGUAUAAUACUAGAUGGAAUGUUUUCUAGUACUCUUCCUCUCCGCUCUAGAUACUGAUGGUGGAAGCCUGACCUCAACGUCAUGGGAACUGUCAAUAUAGGAAAUAAUUGAUCAUCUUGCAUUACAUAGGAGAUCAUCUACAAAUAACUUGUAAUCAAUUACCUGCGUGCACAUUAUAAUCAGUACCUUCAGUAUGUACUUACAAGGAAAAAAUAAUCUGUUACUAAAAUCUUUAAUAUGGAGAUGGACUAAUGUUCUAGCCAAA